CGUACCGUGAUUUUAAAGACUCGUGCGUGGCCUUCGCUUGUUUAAUGUGUCUGAAACUUACACUUUCCUUGCAUGUCAGUAGAGUCUGGUAAAGUACAUGUAUGUUGGAUUCUAGACAAAUCUAUGGCUCAGUGCGCAAGACUGCCCCAUUGCCCACCCCCCUCCCGACCCAAAUAUAGCUCACAUAGCUCCCAUUCCCUGUCGGCCGAGUUAGGUGUACAUGUCAUCCUCCCCCUGUUUUUCCUCUGCUUCAAAAUCUGCGUCAAGACUGAAGUCCCCAGCCGCUAAUAAGCCAUCCAGUCGCUUACAAGACUCUCCGGAAUACUUGGGCAUUACCAAAAGCUGUCAAACUCGGAUGCUGAGAAUACUUGUCUGUUUGCAUACGCCAGAAGAUAUUGAUUCAUAAUCAAAACCGUGUGACGGAGAGUUUCUACCCCAUAAGAUGGGGAUUUGUUACAGCACAGAAGUAGUGCGCAGCACAGACGACGAUGGUGCCCCGCCCGAGGUCGGAGCUGUGACCACCCGCCGCAUCCUGAUCAAACGGUACAAGGACCCGUUCGGCAGGGUGGUGAAGGAAGAGGUCAUUCACCUGGACGGGGAUGCCGACGACGACUUCCCGGACUUUCCCGAGCUCAACAUCGGCCCGAAGCCGAAGCCACGAGUGGAGCCGCGUCCGCGACUUCGCG